rnacentral:rRNA from 1 species
AGGUGAAACCGCGAAUGGCUCAUUAAAUCAGUUAUGGUUCCUUAGAUCGUUCCUAACUACUUGGAUAACUGUGGUAAUUCUAGAGCUAAUACAUGCAGCAGAGCUCCGACCUUCGGGGACGAGCGCUUUUAUUAGACAAGACCAGUCGGGCCGUGUCCGUUACUUGGUGACUCUGGAUAACCUUUGGCUGAUCGCACGGACUCGUUCCGGCGACGCAUCUUUCAAGUGUCUGCCUUAUCAACUGUCGACGGUUGGUCAAAUGCCAACCGUGGUUGUAACGGGUGACGGGGAAUCAGGGUUCGAUUCCGGAGAGGGAGCCUGAGAAACGGCUACCAGUUCUAAGGAAGGCAGCAGGCGCGCAAAUUACGCCAUGGGAGUCUCCCGACGUAGUGACGAAAAAUAACAAUACGGGACUCUUUUGAGACCCCGUAAUUGGAAUGAGUACAAUCUAAAUCCUUUAACGAGGAUCCAUUGGAGAGCAAGCCUAGUGCCAGCUGUCGCGGUAAUACUAGUUCCAAUAGCGUAUAUUAAAGUUGUUGCGGUUAAAAAGCUCGUAGUUGGAUCUCAGUUCCAGUCGGGCGCUCCGCCUUGCGGCGGUAAGCGCACGUUCUGAACAACCAGUCGGUCAACCUAGAUGAUCUUCACCGGUUGUCAUGGGUGACCGUCGCUUUUACUUUGAAAAAAUUAGAGUGCUCAAAGCAGGCGUGACGCCUGAACAAAUGUGCAUGGAAUAAUGGAAUAGGACCUCGGUUCUGUUCUGUUGGUUUUCUGAACUCGAGGUAAUGAUUAAGAAGGACGAAUGGGGCCAUCAGUACAGGCGCACGAGGGGUGAAAUCCUGUGACUGCGUCUUGACUAACAGGAGCGAAAGCGUAUGGCAAAUACGUUUUUAUUAAUCAAGAACGAAAGUUGGGGGUCCGAAGGCGAUCAGAUACCGCCCUAGUCCUAACCAUAAACGAUGCCAACCAGCGAUCCGCCCGAGUUCCUAAAAUGACUCGGCGGGCAGCUUCCGGGAAACCACAGUUGGGUUCCGGGGGGAAUAUGGUUGCAAAACUGAAACUUGAAGGAAUUGACGGAGAGGCACUACAAGGAAUGGAUUAUGCGGCCUAAUUCGACUCAACACGGGAGAGCCUACUAUGCCAGGACACAAAAAGGAUUGACAGAUUAAGAGCUCUUUCUCGAUCUUGUGCAUUGUGGUGCAUGGCCAUUUCUAGUUGGUGGAAUGAUUUGUCAGGUCUAUUUCGAUAACGAGCGAGACCCUAGCCUACUAAAUAGCCGAGCCGGUCAGUCCAGCCGGACGGCUUCUUAGAGGGACAAGCGGCGUCUAGCCGUACGAGACAGGGCGACAAUAGGUCUGAAAUGCCCGUAGAUGUCAUAGGCAGCACGCGUGAUACCAUGAGGGAGUCAGCGUGUGAUAUCCCUGUCCGACAGGACUGGGUAACCCGAUGAACCUCCUUCGUGAUUGGGAUAGGGGCUUGUAAUUAUUCCCCUUGAACGAGGAAUUCCAAGUAAGCAUGGCUCAUUAGGCCGUGUUGAUUAUGUCACUGCCUCUUGUGCACACCGCCCGUCGCUGUCUUCGAUUGAACGGAUUAGUGAGGUCUCCGGACAGGCGCCCGGAGCGGCCUCGCGGUCGCGACGGAGUGCCGGAAAGUUGACCGAACUUGUC